GACAGAGGUGCCGAGCGUUAGGCGGAAUCACUGGGCUUAAAGCGUGUGUAGGCGGGCGGGCAAGUACCUUGUGAAAUCCCACGGCUCAACCGUGGAACGGCUGGGUAUACUGCCUGUCUUGAGCCAACUAGGGGCGAGCGGAACAGACGGUGGAGCGGUGAAAUGCGUAGAUAUCGUCUGGAACGCCAAAGGUGAAAACAGCUCGCUGGGGUUGUGCUGACGCGGAGACACGAAAGCCAGGGGAGCGAACGGG
rnacentral:rRNA from 1 species